CAAUCUUAUCGUCUCUUCCUCAAAUAUUUGUCGGUGACUUUUCCUUUGCACUCUACGGCGUCGAAGAUAUUGUCUUCGCCGAUCGACCUCCCCACUAUCAAGAUCAAUAACUGUACCAUUCAACACAAUACCCUCUUCAACUUCUUCCCUUUCCCCAACCUAGCUAUAUAUACGGUGAGAUUCAAGACCAAAGUUCCUCACAUCGUUAUCCCCAAAAGCACCAGCGUGAUUAAACUCCAAGGCUAAAGCACGACUAUGAUAUCAGAUCAACCAUUGGGAUGAAGUUGUUGUCACAAAUGACCUUCAGAUGGAUGAGGAUGAGGAUGAGGAUGAUAAUGAGGAAGAUGACCAAGAAGUAUAUCACCAAAAUAGAGCAAAUAAAAAUGUCAUCAGCUGGGAUGUUGGGUUAGUGUACGCGGAACCAUGAAGGUUUGUUAAUAUUAGUUU